AUUGAACGCUGGCGGCAGGCCUAACACAUGCAAGUCGAACGGUAACAGGAAGCAGCUUGCUGCUUCGCUGACGAGUGGCGGACGGGUGAGUAAUGUCUGGGAAACUGCCUGAUGGAGGGGGAUAACUACUGGAAACGGUAGCUAAUACCGCAUAACGUCGCAAGACCAAAGAGGGGGACCUUCGGGCCUCUUGCCAUCGGAUGUGCCCAGAUGGGAUUAGCUAGUAGGUGGGGUAACGGCUCACCUAGGCGACGAUCCCUAGCUGGUCUGAGAGGAUGAGCAGCCACACUGGAACUGAGACACGGGCCAGACUCCUACGGGAGGCAGCAGUGGGGAAUAUUGCACAAUGGGCGCAAGCCUGAUGCAGCCAUGCCGCGUGUAUGAAGAAGGCCUUCGGGUUGUAAAGUACUUUCAGCGGGGAGGAAGGCGAUAAGGUUAAUAACCUUGUCGAUUGACGUUACCCGCAGAAGAAGCACCGGCUAACUCCGUGCCAGCAGCCGCGGUAA
rnacentral:rRNA from 1 species